ACUCCACUACUACUACGCCCUAGGUCAGUGAUACUCCACUACUACUACGCCCUAGGUCAGUGAUACUCCACUACUACUACGCCCUAGGUCAGUGAUACUCCACUACUACGCCCUAGGUCAGUGAUACUCCACUACUACUACGCCUAGGUCAGUGAUACUCCACUACUACUACGCCCGAGGUCAGUGAUACUCCACUACUACUACGCCCGAGGUCAGUGAUACUCCAUUACUACUACGCCCUAGGUCAGUGAUACUCCAUUACUACUACUACGCCCUAGGUCAGUGAUACUCCACUACUACUACGCCCUAGGUCAGUGAUACUCCACUACUACUACUACGCCCUAGGUCAGUGAUACUCCAUUACUACUACUACGCCCUAGGUCAGUGAUACUCCACUACUACUACUACGCCCGAGGUCAGUGAUACUCCAUUACUACUACGCCCUAGGUCAGUGAUACUCCCACUACUACUCCCAUUACCAAGCCCUAGGUCAGUGAUACUCCCACUACUACUCCCAUUACCAAGCCCUAGGUCAGUGAUACUCCCACUACUACUCCCAUUACCAAGCCCUAGGUCAGUGAUACUCCACCACUACUCCCAUUACCAAGCCCUAGGUCAGUGAUACUCCACCACUACUACUCCCAUUACCAAGCCCUAGGUCAGUGAUACUCCCACUACUACUCCCAUUACCAAGCCCUAGGUCAGUGAUACUACACCCUAGGUCAGUGAUACUCCCACUACUACUCCCAUUACCAAGCCCUAGGUCAGUGAUACUCCACCACUACUCCCAUUACUACGCCCUAGGUCAGUGAUACUCCACCCACCACUACUCCCAUUACCAAGCCCUAGGUCAGUGAUACUCCACCACUACUCCCAUUACCAAGCCCUAGGUCAGUGAUACUCCUCCACCACUACUCUCAUUACUACGCCCUAGGUCAGUGAUACUCCCACCACUACUCCCAUUACCAAGCCCUAGGUCAGUGAUACUCCACCACUACUCCCAUUACCAAGCCCUAGGUCAGUGAUACUCCACCACUACGCCCUAGGUCAGUGAUACUCCACUACUACUCCCAUUACCAAGCCCUAGGUCAGUGAUACUCCCACUACUACUCCCAUUACCAAGCCCUAGGUCAGUGAUACUCCACCACUACACCCUAGGUCAGUGAUACUCCCACUACUACGUCCUAGGUCAGUGAGUAUAGUUGUUUUGAAGUAGUUUAAAACAAACAACUAAAAGCAGAUUGUCGGUAUGUAGAAAUGACACAGAGCCUUCAGAAAGUGUUCACGCCCCUCGACUUCUUCCACAUUUUGUUGUGACAGCCAGAAUUAAAACACACACAAUAACCCAUAAUGACAAAGUGAAAACAUGUGUUGACAUUUUUGCAAAUGUAUUGAAAAUGAACUCUUAGAAAUAUCUCCUUUGCAUAAGUAUUCAAACCCCUGAGUCAAUACUUUGUAGAAGCACCUUUGGCAGUGAUUACAGCUGUGAGUCUUUCUGGGUAAAUCUCUUAGAGCUUUGCACACCUGGAUGAUACAAUAUUUGCACAUUAUUCUUUUAAAAUUCUUCUCUUUCUUUUAAACUGUCAAAUUGACAGCCAUUUUCAAGUCUGAACCUUGUUUUCCUCUAGGAUUUUGCAUGUGCUUAUAGCUGUAUUCUGUUUAUUUUUAUCCUAAAAAAAAAAAUUUCCCUUGUCAUUGUCGCUGACAAGCACACCCAUAACAUGAUGCAGCAACCACCAUGCUUGAAAAUAUGAAGAGUUGUACUCCGUGAUGUGUUGGAUUUGCCCUAAACUUAACACUUUGUAUUCAGGAAAGAAAGUCAGAUUUUUGGCAUUAUUUUUUGCAGUAUUACUUAAGUGCCUUGUUGCAAACAGGAUGCAGGUUUUGUAAUACAGGCUUCCUUUUCACUCUGUCAUUUAAGUUAGUAUUGUGGAGUAACUACAAUGUUGUUGAUCCAUCCUUCGUUCUCAUAUCACACCCAUUAUACUCUGUAACUGUUUUAAAGUCACCACUGGCAUCAUGAUGAAAUCCCUGAGUGGUUUCCUUCCUCUCCGGCAACUGAGCUAGGAAAGAUGCCUGAAUCUUUGUAGUGACCGGGUGUAUUGAUUCACCAUGCAAAGUGUAAUUAACAACUUCACCAUGCUCAAAGGGAUAUUCAAGUUCAUUGAAAAACCUUCCCUGGUCUUUGUGGUUGAAUCUGUGCUUGAAAUGUAUUACCCGGUUGAGGGAGUGGGGUACAGAGAUGGGGUAGUCAUUCAGAGAUGGGGUAGUCAUUCAGAGAUGGGGUAGUCAUUCAGAGAUGGGGUAGUCAUUCAGAGAUGGGGUAGUCAUUCAGAGAUGGGGUAGUCAUUCAGAGAUGAUGUUAACCACUAUUAUUGAACAUGGAAUGAGU